AGGGGGGGGGGCAAGGGGGGAGGGGUCUCGUCACGAAAUCACGAAGAUCAUUUUUCAAUUUCACGAGUCACGAAAAACAAAAAUUUCAUUUUCACGAUUUUUAGAAACACAGAAGCGUAACAAAGUCUGAAACCAUGUAACGAUUUUCUAGACAGCAGAACUUGAUGUUAACACAAAGUCACAAACACAAGUUUACUGACUUUGACAUAUUAAAGAGCUUUUUUUAAAGACUAUGGAAUUCAUUGCGAGGCAUUACGAAACAUUACGAGCGUCUUACGAUGGUUUACGAAG